rnacentral:lncRNA from 1 species
UGUAAUUGAUAUCUCUCUUCAUCACAAGUAGCAACUUGGUAAUAAUAAUUGUGGACAAACUUUUGUUUAUUGCUAAGAUUAUUAGAAAACAAGUUAAAUAAAUCGAGCUUAUGUGUUUGUUGCUUGGAUUAGCCUAAUUUUCUAUUUCUUAAUGCUUCUAUCAUAUUAAAUCUAGAGAGCUUAUUCUAGGUUAUAUGCUAGUUAGAAUCUGGUGGAGAGCUUGUUUCAUACAGUGAUAAUCUAAAGAGAAUUUCGGAUAGCAGAGCUUAUUGUUAUCUAUGACUAAUAAUUUCAUUGAAGGAAAAAUAAUAAUUACUUGAUUAAUUGAUUG